CACGCAUCAGUUCAAAUAACCUGCAUAAAAACUCACCGCCACCGCAAAUGAAAUCUGAGAGAGAAGUGAAGGCGGUAAAACGGCGAUAGAGAGAGAGGGGGCGUGAAAAAUCAUCGUCACCGGUCAAGCUCUGUCGCUGAACCUACAGAUCCCGUUUUCUCAUCCCACCGACUUCUUCUCCGGCCACUCAAUCCGCCUCUUUCACCGUCAUUGGAGGUCUGGGGCUGAGGGUCUGUGAGUUAACUGGGGAGACAGCAACUGAUUUGAAAUUACUUGAAAAGGGACAGGUGAUAAUCAGCACUCCUGACAAGUAGGAUGCAUUAUCGCGUCGCUGGAAACAACGGAAACAUGUUCAACAAGUCAGUCUUUUUAUUGUUGACGAGUUGCAUUUGAUUGGAGGGCAAAACGGUCCGGUUUUGGAGGUUAUAGUGUCCAGGAUGAGCUUAAAUCGCGGUUGAUUUUAUGCCUCACAAUGAGGCUGAUCAAGUAGAUUACAUGGCAGAAUAAGGGUGCAUGUCGGAUUUUGUAGAGAAUGUGGAAGAGGAAGAAAACGGCGGUGGAGAUAGAUCCUCUUCCUGCCAUCGCCAUUCAUGCCCCCCACCAUUCAUACCCAAAUCUCCAAUUCGCAGAGUGGUUGCGCAGUGAUGGAGGUUGAUGUGACGACGGUUGUUUUGUGGUGGUGGUUGUGCGACAAUGAUAGAGCAGACAAAGGUGAUGGAUACGUUCUCUGAUCAAGCGAGAAGUGGGAAGGAUAUUUAAGUCAUUACAUGGGGCAAAUUUAAUAUGGUGAUGAUAGAUGUUAGCUGAUGGGAAUUGGUGGGAUUUUGAGAGGAUUGAGAUCACUAGACAACCCGAUUGUAUGUUUGUCCAUGGCUUCAUGAACUCUAGCGAGGUUUAAGAUCCCUCGACAGUUGUACAUCUUGGUAAUCCAUAGUAAUCGUCGGACAUUUACUUCACGCUUGUACAUGGUUUGAGCUAUGUGAUACACUGUAGUAUUACAUCCUGGAUAAGGCAUCCCUGAGCUAUCUCAUGAAGCAUCAAGCAUUUACUUCUGGUGCUUAACACAAAACCCUGAAUAUUGCAAGCAAUGGUUGUGCAAAUGGGUUUUCUAGCAGCUUUUAAGAGAUACAAACCCUCAAAAGGAGCUACGGAUGCUCAAGAUCCACCCAAAAGCAUUUAACUUUCUACAGAUCAAGUUAAAUUGUCAUAUGACUGGAUUACGAAUAGAGCCAAAGGUUUUGAUAUAACAUAGUGCAGCAACUGGAGACAUUUCAACAUUAAUGUUUAGGCGACCUAUGUUUUUUCUGUUUGGUCAUGUAUUUUAUUUUUUUCUGUAGCUUGUAUCACUAUCAUGCCGAUGUAGUAUCUUGCUAUGUCGGUGGUUUCACUUUGUUGAUAAUAAUAGUCUCCGUUGCCUUUAAAAAA